UACGAAGGGGGGCUAGCGUUGCUCGGAAUCACUGGGCGUAAAGGGUGCGUAGGCGGGUCUUUAAGUCAGGGGUGAAAUCCUGGAGCUCAACUCCAGAACUGCCUUUGAUACUGAGGAUCUUGAGUUCGGGAGAGGUGAGUGGAACUGCGAGUGUAGAGGUGAAAUUCGUAGAUAUUCGCAAGAACACCAGUGGCGAAGGCGGCUUACUGGUCCGGUUCUGACACUGAGGCGCGAAAGCGUGGGGAGCAAACAGG
rnacentral:rRNA from 1 species